rnacentral:misc_RNA from 1 species
CGACGAACUCGCCAAGUCGAUCACCGUAUCUGACGAAGACGCGAAGAAGGUCUUCGAACAGCGCCGCGAGCGUUACGCGACCCCUGAGAAGCGUCAGGUGUUCCAGAUCCCGUUCCCGAACGCCGACGAGGCCAAGGCGGCAAGCGAUCGCAUCAAGUCCGGAACAUCGUUCGAGGACAUCGCCAAGGAGCGCAAGCUGACGACGGCCGAUAUCGACCUCGGCAACGUGGCGAAGGCUUCGAUCG